rnacentral:tRNA from 1 species
GCCAGUGUGAUGUAGUGGUUUGAGUGUUGGACUGUUACUCUGGAGACCAGGAUUCAAUUCCCAGCUUGGUCA